rnacentral:Y_RNA from 1 species
GGCUGGUUCAAGUGCAGUAGUGUUUACAACUAAUUGCUCACAACCAGUUACUGAUUUCUUUGUCCCUUCUCCACUCCCACUGCUUCAUCUGACGAGCCUUAA